GGGAAUGUGGCUUAGUGGUAGAGUGCUUGCCUAGCAUGCAUGAAGCUUUGGGUUCAAUUCCUCAGUACCA
rnacentral:tRNA from 1 species